rnacentral:antisense_RNA from 1 species
CUUCAGGGAGCCGAGCCACAGCGGCUCGUCGGCCGCGCGCUCCUGGCCGUAGGUGGCGAGAAGGGCCUGGGCCUC